UGUGGGGUGCCAUCACUGGAAGUCUCAAAACAUAGGUCCACAGGUAAUCUGGCUUCACGCCCAAACAUGAGAAAAUAGGGAGAAAAUCCUGUAGCUUCAUUUGGAGUGCAAUUGUAAGCGUGGACCAAAUGUACAAUGUGCUGACUCCAUCUUUUCUUUCUGUUUGGCUCCAGAGUCCCCAACAUGUCCAACAAUGUCCUAUUAAACCUCUCAGGUUGGGGGUCUCCUUGAGGAUGAUAGGGCGUUGUUCUGGAUUUCUCAACUCCGAGUGAACUCAAUACUUCAUGGACAAGGCGACUUUCAAAAUCUCUCCCCUGAUCACUGUGCAUCCUCUUGGGCAAUCCAUAGUGGACAAAAUACUUCUCCAGUAACACUUUUGCCACGGUAGAGGCUUUCUGGUCCUUGGUUGGAAAGGCCUGAGCGUAGCGGGUGUAGUGAUCAGUAAUGACUAGGACAUUUUCUGUGUUGUUUGAAUCUGGUUCAAUGGACAGAAAGUCCAUACAAACAAGGUCCAGUGGGCCAUCACUUUGCAAAUGAGACAAUGGUGCAACUCUCUUGGGUAAAGUCUUUCUUUGUAUACACCUCACACAUGACUUACAAUAAUCUUCAAUCUCUGACAUCAUCCGAGGCCAGUAGAAACGAUCUUUGAUCAGACCAUAUGUCUUGUCGAGGCCCAGGUGACCUGAGUCAUCAUGCAGUGAUUUCAUUACUGUGUUUCUGUACUAUUCUGGUAGUACCAACUGAGAGCAACAGGGUUUUCCUGGUGGACUUAUAAUGCGAUACAUUACUCCUUUCUGCAUCUUUAACCUAUCCCACUCUCUCAACAGCAAAGAGCAAGCUCUGUGUUUCGUCCUAUCAACUUGGGUGAUAUUGCCCUUGGUCAGAGCUGACCACACUUGUCCUAUGCCAGGGUCUUCCUGCUGAGCGGUUGACAACUCGGUGAGACUCACAAAAGGCAUAUUUUUGACACUCAAAGAAGCAAGAUUGAAAUAGGGUUGUGGGAUAGCUUGUGGGGAAAUCCCCAGGAGAUCAAUGGCUCUUCCAGACUGUAGGUUUUUCUGUGUUGUCAAUGCAGACAUCUGACACAUGGCUCUCACACCUGUUGCAGGGAUGUCUUUCCACUCUGAUUCUUGUAUUGGACUGGGGUGUGGGCGACGAGAGAGAGCAUCAGCAUCAAUGUUCUGGACUCCUGAUCUGUAUUUGAGACUGAAGUUAUAUGUAGACAAGGCAGCAAGCCAACGGUGACCCGUCGCAUCCAGCUUAGCUGAUGUCAACACAUAGGUCAAUGGGUUAUUGUCCGUCCUCACCUCAAACAUGAUCCCGUACAGAUAGUCAUGCAGUUUAUCUACCACUGCCCACUUCAGUGCCAAAAACUCUAGUUUAUGGGCAGGGUAAUUCUUUUCUGAAGGAGUCAAGCUUCGACUGACAAAAGCCACAGGUAUCAAUCCUUCACCCUGAUCCUGGUACACUCCUCCUAGCCUUUCACGGCUAGCGUCUACGUGCAGCACAUAGGUAGCUGAGGGUUUGCAAAAGCUAACACGGGAGCUUGAGUGAGCCGUUGCUUCAGCUCCUCAAAGGCUGCUUCACAUUUGUCAUCCCACCGACUACCAAAAGGCUCUGAGGGGUUUAGGUAAGUGUUCUCUUGCUUCCCUCUGGAUUUCUUUGCAGCUGGUGGGUAACCGGACAACAGUUGGUUCAACGGGUGAGCUACCUUCGAAUAAUCCUUCAUGAAGCGCCUGUAGUACCCACAGAAUCCAAGAAAUGACCGCAAAGCAGUCACAGUGUUUGGUCUGGGCCAUGUGGUCACAGCUUCAGUCUUCUUUGGGUCAGUAGAUACCCCAUCUUGGGAUAUGAUGUGUCCCACAUAGGUUACGGAGGGCUGACAAAACUGGCAUUUAUCCAGUGAUAACUUCAGUCCUUCAUCUCUCAAACGGUCAAGCACCUUUAACAACCUGGUCUCAUGCUCCUAAAGCGUUGCCCCAAACACAGUGAGAUCGAGAUAAACCAAGACUUCGAGCAGAUUCAUGUCUCCGACAGUCUGUUCCAUUAUCCACUGAAAUGUAGCGGGAGCCCCUUUCACUCCUUGUGGCAUUCUUUCAAAUUGGAAGAAUCCAGCCGGGCAGAUGAAUGCUGUCUUCUCUUUAUCAGAAUCACUCAUAGGCAUUUGAUAGUAGCCACUGCAAAGGUCAAGCACACUAAACCACUUACUUCCACUGAGACAGGCCAAAGCAUCUUCAAUUCUUGGCACUGUGUAUUGAUCUGGGACAGUGCGACGGUUUAGAGUCCUGAAAUCCACACACAUCCUUAUUUUCCCGUUCUUCUUCCUCACAACCACAAUGGGUGAGGUGUAAGGACUGCGUGACUCGGUGAUAACAACAGCGGUUUUCAGCUGCGACAGAUGUUGUCUCAAUGCCUCCACAUCUGCAGGUGGCAGCCGACGAGACCUCUCACGAAACGGUUUGUCAUCUGUGGUUUUGAUAGUGUGCUGGGUGCUUUUACUGCAUCCUACAUCAAACUCAUGCAGAGUGAAAACCUCAUUCCGUUCCAUCAUUUUUGUCACCAAUCUUUCUUUCCACUCCUUAGGGACUGGUGAGUCUCCAAAGUUGAAAGAGGAGGGGGUCAACUUUCCAGAUGACUCAACAUCAGACUCUUUCUUUUCAGGAGGUGAUGACACGACGUCGACUGGAAACAGGUGGGCUAUCGGCAUUCCUCUGGUCAAGGUAAUUUCUCGUGCUGACAUGUUUCUGACUAGAACUGUGAUUCUCUUAGCCAUCACACCAGUAGAUGCCUGUAACUCUGGUCUCACCAGGAGUCCAUCUGGAAACCGUGAUUCAUUUCCAGGGUCAUCAGUGACUAAGCAGCCGUCUCACAGUGGGUGUGUUUGUGCCAACAAGCAUGGAAGCUUCACCUCUCUCAGUGGGGUCGGGACAUACCAACACAAGUGCAUCAAUGGUCUCACGCACUCCUACAUCAGCUUCCAAAAACUCCAGCCUAAGUGACAAAUAGCCAUCAUAAGGGUACUCAUCAGAGCUGAGACCCCAUAUCUGCAGAGUGCUGAUAGGUGUCAAUGGCAGGUGUGUCAAAUAUCUGUCGUAGAAGGAUCUGUACUACAAAGUUACUUGAGAACCAGAAUCGAGUAUAGCUUUAGAGUAGAUGCCUUCAAUCUGUACGGACACGACAGAGCUAGGGCCCACUAAGCCUUCAGGUAUAGUGUCAUUCACUUUUCUUUCUGAGCCACUGCACUUGGUGGAACGUGUUGUGACCACCGGGAUGCCAGGCCGUUCCUCUACUGGACCCCGCGGUAGUUUCCCGAUUUCUUUGUCAGUUUAAUGAGGCGCUUAUUGACUUUGAGUAGGUUUUCUUCACCUUCACAUUCUCUCUUAAAAUGUCCAUCCUCCCCAUAUCUAUAGCAAAAUAUCCCAGGUUUGUCCUCUUGAUAUCCAGACCUUUGUGGGGUAGCAUUUUUUUUUGUAUGUGGUCUUGACAGGGAUUUCAAGUUGUGGACUCUGAGCGUCUGGGUGUGAUGAAACUGUAGCAGCUUUAAGACUAAUCAUUUCAGCUUUCAUGACACUGAUCUCUUUUUUCAGCAUUGCUACUUCAGUAUCAACUUCUAUUUCAGGUGCAGGCUUGGGAACAGGAGUGACAGACUGUGACAUUACUGGGUUCUUGGCAUCAUUCCUGCUUUGGAGCAUAUCUUCCUCCUCUCUCACCUCUCUUAGCAGCUCAUUGAAAGAAGGGGGUUCUCGUAGCUUAUGUGUCAUACGAAGGCGAAGAGCAAUCAUGUCUUGUUGCAGUGCUCCUCUCACAACCUGCUCCAUUCGUAAUCGAUUCAUGUCAGGCAGUGCCACGCCUCCUUUCCUGAUAAGACAGUGCAGCAGUUUAUCCAACCUCAACAGGAGCAUGGAGCACAUGAGCAGGCCAUGGACCAGCCUCCCCAGGUCUGAAAAACAUUCAUUGGACAUAUGGCAUGCGGCAAAAAAUUUAACCAAGAAACUUCAUGCGGCUGGGAUUGUAAAGGGUCAUUCCAUCAUACGUGUGUGGCUUAGGGACAUCGUCAACCAAUUUUGGUAUAUUUGCCAGAAAGCCGAACAUUGUGAUAUGUUCAAUUUGUAGGAUAUGUGGGUGGGGGUGCUUUAUCAUGUCACGGGGAAGCAUGAAUGGACCCAUGGCAAAUGUGACUAUGGACCACUUGAUGAGGCGACCCAUGUGAAAGAGCUCAUCGUGCCAGGCUCUGCACCACAUGAGGGUGUUCAACAGACGGUGGUUGAAGGAUGUUGCAAAGUAUCUGACCUUUCGGUAAAUUAAUAACAUUGUCUUGUCUGUCAGAAUAUCUUUUCCAUUCUUUCCAUUAGCAGAACAUCUAUAGUAUCAAUACGAAACCUGACACAUUACAAGGUGGUUAAACUCAUUUUCCUCUAUUCAGACACAGAUUCAUAGAGGACAGGUAUGUCAUUCACCUACAUCCCACAUUCAUGUCUGAUCAAUUUCAAAUAAAGUUUGUUAUUGUUUUGCAGGUCAAGUCAAAACAUACCUCUUUGAAAUAAUAACAUUUUUAAAGAAAGGCCUCAGCUACAUGAUCCAGAAAAUGAGCAAGAAAAGAGGGACGACAAGACCAUCUUGUUUACGACUCAUUUAUUUUAUUAUAAACAUGUAGAAACAGGAGAAAAUAUCAGUCAGGCACCCUAAAUGGAGCUUCUAACCUUUGUAGUUUGCAAAAGGGUCAGGGAAUUUUGCCUGGAUAUGAAGAACACAGCAGCUCAGUAUCGGCCUCCUGCUCCCUCUUCCCAGAUGCCCAUUCUGCCAGAUCGUAAAUUGCUGGUAGGCAGCAAACUGAAACUCUUGGUUAUCGCUGCCCACAUCUUGGCUGUUCUCCAGAGCAAAGAUGUCGUUUCACGUCAUCCUAACCAGACAUGUACCCUCAUCCAGGCAGUACAUCUCCAGGUGGGCACUCCUGCUCAGACACUGGUCCAGAGCCUGCCAACAGCACAAGUUCUCCAUUUGGGUUGACAUGAGUCGGCAGUUCAGGCAGGUGCACCACGCAGGCUGCCCUCUGUCUGGAAGAUGUGGUCCUGGUGCUUGUGACCGGAACUCCAGGAUGUCGAGCAGCACCCCUGGUUGGCAGGUCCCCACUGACUGGAGAACAACAUCCCUCUCCUCCUGGCUCAGAUGUUGUAAAGCCAUCUAGAAACUGAUCAAGAAAAUAUGUUUACAUGGCUAGAGUCAUAUUUCAAAUCUGUGUGUUCUUUCACUCAUUCAUUCCGAUAACAAGAUUUUUUUUUAACCAAAUUGCUAUAACCAACCUACAUCUCAGCUAUACUAGUAGCUCUAAGCUCUAUACUAGUAGCUCUCCUCCCUGAGAGCUCCAGUGCACUGCCUGCCCCGGUGUUCUGGAAGGAGCUCUGGACCACGACCUGCUACCUUCCCCCCUUGACCGUGUCCUUCUUCGACCUUCAGACUGACCUCUUCCAUUCCCUUUUCCUCUACCGCCUUUGCCUUUACCCCCUGGUCUUGCACUUUCCCAUGACUCAUCAGAGUCGGGGUCAGGCUGAGGCACAGACUCCUCCUCUGAAGUGUCCUACACGUGUGCCACUCCUUCCAGAGUCAAUUCCAAAUCCUGAAAUAAAAACAUUGAGAACAAUACUAAUAAGAAUAACGUUAGUAAUCAUCACAGGGAUGUUGUGAUUUUAUUUGAUGUUAUGUUUAUUCUGAUUCAACUUGGUAUAAUACCAGUUAUAACAUAUUGACAUUUCUGUUUUACUUGUAUUUACUUUGUUAUGGUGCAGUGCUAUUCAUAUCAUUUAUAUUGUCUUACAAUGGAAAUGGUUUCACAAACGAUCUCUGUGGCACUGGCACAUAACACUUGGCGUGAGACAAUGAAUCAUACAAUUACUGUUACAUGAUAAUGACUGCAUACUUACGUCAGCUUGUUAGCAAGCUAAAUAUUAGCUAUGUUGGUAAUUACCACAGUCAGAAAUAAGCCAAAUGCUUGUCAAACAACAUAACAUUGGUGGCAGUCACAUUAGCUUAAGUCACAAAACAAUGGUUAUCGCUAGCUCGUUAUUCACUGUGGCUGGGGAAAUUUGAACUUUAGUAACCAUUUGGCCAGUGUAAGGUGAACAUACUUUAUAUUACAACAGUCAUUUUGUUGAAUUAAUGCACUAAUUGUCAAAGAAAUAUACUAAAGUUGCACUAAAAUGAACA